rnacentral:rRNA from 1 species
UACGUAGGGUGCAAGCGUUAAUCGGAAUUACUGGGCGUAAAGCGUGCGCAGGCGGUUCUAUAAGACAGAUGUGAAAUCCCCGGGCUCAACCUGGGAACUGCAUUUGUGACUGUAGAGCUGGAGUGCGGCAGAGGGGGAUGGAAUUCCGCGUGUAGCAGUGAAAUGCGUAGAUAUCGUCAGGAACGCCAAUGGUGAAGACAGGUGACUGGGCUAGUUCUGACACUGAGGCACGAAAGCGUGGGGAGCGAACGGG